rnacentral:rRNA from 1 species
UACGUAGGGGGCUAGCGUUGUCCGGAUUUAUUGGGCGUAAAGAGCGUGUAGGCGGCCAGAUAGGUCCUCUGUGAAAACUCGAGGCUUAACCUCGAGAUGUCGGUGGAAACCAUUUGGCUAGAGUCCGGAAGAGGAGAGUGGAAUUCCUGGUGUAGCGGUGAAAUGCGCAGAUAUCAGGAGGAACACCAGUGGCGAAAGCGGCUCUCUGGGACGGUACUGACGCUGAGACGCGAAAGCGUGGGGAGCGAACAGG